rnacentral:rRNA from 1 species
GACAGAGGGUGCAAACGUUGUUCGGAGUUACUGGGCGUAAAGCGUGUGUAGGCGGCCGCGCAAGUCGGAUGUGAAAGCCCUGGGCUCAACCCAGGAAGUGCACCCGAUACUGCAUGGCUCGAGUACUGGAGAGGUUGGUGGAAUUCUCGGUGUAGAGGUGAAAUUCGUAGAUAUCGAGAGGAACACCGGUGGCGAAGGCGGCCAACUGGACAGAUACUGACGCUGAGACACGAAAGCGUGGGGAGCAAACAGG